GGGCCUUUAGCUCAGUUGGUUAGAGCGCACCCCUGAUAAGGGUGAGGUCGGUAGUUCAAAUCUACCAAGGCCCACCA
rnacentral:tRNA from 1 species